rnacentral:rRNA from 1 species
UACAGAGGGUGCAAGCGUUGUUCGGAAUUACUGGGCGUAAAGGGCGUGUAGGCGGUUGAACAAGUCAGAUGUGAAAUCCCGGGGCUUAACUCCGGAAGUGCAUUUGAAACUGUUCAGCUAGAGUGUUGUAGAGGAUAGCGGAAUACCCAGUGGAGAGGUGAAAUUCGUAGAUAUUGGGUGGAACACCGGUGGCGAAGGCGGCCAUCUGGGCAACAACUGACGCUGAGGCGCGAAAGCGUGGGGAGCAAACAGG